rnacentral:rRNA from 1 species
CCUACGGGCGGCAGCAGUGGGGAAUAUUGCACAAUGGGCGCAAGCCUGAUGCAGCCAUGCCGCGUGUAUGAAGAAGGCCUUCGGGUUGUAAAGUACUUUCAGCGGGGAGGAAGGUGUUGUGGUUAAUAACCACAGCAAUUGACGUUACCCGCAGAAGAAGCACCGGCUAACUCCGUGCCAGCAGCCGCGGUAAUACGGAGGGUGCAAGCGUUAAUCGGAAUUACUGGGCGUAAAGCGCACGCAGGCGGUCGGUCAAGUCGGAUGUGCAAUCCCCGGGCUCAAACUGGGAACUGCAUUCGAAACUGGCAGGCUAGAGUCUUGUAGAGGGGGGUAGAAUUCCAGGUGUAGCGGUGAAAUGCGUAGAGAUCUGGAGGAAUACCGGUGGCGAAGGCGGCCCCCUGGACAAAGACUGACGCUCAGGUGCGAAAGCGUGGGGAGCAAACAGGAUUAGAUACCCUUGUAGUCAU